rnacentral:rRNA from 1 species
ACGCUCGACACCUACGGGAGCAGCAGUGAGGAAUAUUGGUCAAUGGGCGCUAGCCUGAACCAGCCAAGUAGCGUGAAGGAUGAAGGCUCUAUGGGUCGUAAACUUCUUUUAUAUAAGAAUAAAGUGCAGUAUGUAUACUGUUUUGUAUGUAUUAUAUGAAUAAGGAUCGGCUAACUCCGUGCCAGCAGCCACGGUAAUCUGAGCGGGCUGGCAAGGC